rnacentral:rRNA from 1 species
GACAGAGGUGCCGAGCGUUAGGCGGAAUCACUGGGCUUAAAGCGUGUGUAGGCGGGUCGUUAAGUACCUUGUGAAAUCCCCCCGGCUCAACCGGGGAACGGCUGGGUAUACUGGCGAUCUUGAGCCACCUAGGGGCAGUCGGAACAAGUGGUGGAGCGGUGAAAUGCGUAGAUAUCACUUGGAACGCCAAUGGUGAAAACAGACUGCGUGGGGGUGUGCUGACGCUGAGACACGAAAGCCAGGGGAGCAAACGGG